AUUGAGAUUAAUUAUUUUGACGGCUCAUCAUGUUGGGCAUUCGUGUUUUCGAUUCGGGUUAUUCGGUUUUUGGGUUAUUCAGAUUAGGAUGUUUGAGACCCGUUAAGAAACCAUACAUUUUUGGAUCGAAUCAGUUUGGGUAAUGUCGGAUUUAGGUCAUGUUUUCAUUUUCUUAUAAAAAUUGCAGUGGAAGCAAAUUAGAAAUAGAUUGGAUUUAAUUCGGGGUUAAACGGAAAAUCCCAAAAAUGCUUAAAACCAGAGUUAAACCCGGAAAACCACAAAACUCAAGGAAUUAGAGUAAUUUGGUGAUUUUGAAUAUUUGUUAUUUAUAAAUUAUAAUUAUAUAUAAAU
rnacentral:lncRNA from 1 species